GACCUUAGUUGAAGUGCUGCUGCAGAGCAGCAACUGUACAGAGACUUGCAGGGCGAAGGAUUAGUUUUGUGCACAGCCUUUUGCAUUGUGGUAUUACCUGCAUCUUUCACCUGUACUUCUGCUCCUGUUCUCGCCAAGUUGAAGUACAUGCUUUUUAAGAUGACCACAGAAUGCUUGCUUGUUUGGAAGAAAAGGGUUCUUGAAGACCUUUGAAGACCUUGAAGAGGUUUGUUUUACUGACAGCUUUAUCUCUUUUUUUUUUUCCUCCCCUCUCCCUUCUGAAAUGCUGAAGAAGCAGGAGAACAAGCGGAGUUGUUAAAUAAAUCAUGCGUGUAAAACUUGUCUAACUUCAUUAGCCCACCAGACCUAGCUAGUCUCUUUUUAAAAGUUGUUUUUAUUAACAUCUGUUAAUUGGGAGGAGAGCUCUUUUUUUAUUAAUGAUUCAGCAUCCCUCUUCUCAGGGUUCAGUUUUUUUCUGCUUUCAGUUACUUUUUUUUUUUUUUCCCCAUCGGUAUCUUGAUCUGAAGAUCCUGCUGCUGUUCUCUUUUGAUUUUGCUUUAUUUAGGGCUAUAUUGUUUGACUGCAGUAUUAAGGAUUGUGUUGCUUUGUUAUCUUUCUUUUAGGUGUUGCGGUUUUCUGUAAUCAAAAAGCUGGCCAGCACAAAUGGUGGUAAAAACCUUGCUGGAGCAUGAGAAUCUCUACCAAACAUUGUUCACCUGCUGUCAGUGUUAGCCUUUCUCUUCUAGCUUUAAAAUCCACAGUGACUGUUCUAAAACCUGAAUAUUGACAUCCAUAGAAGCCCCCGUGUAUCACUGAAAAAAUAAAGAAAGGCAAUACAGCUUUUGGAAAGUUUUUUUUAGGAAACUCAUAAUUAGUGGAAGUGUCAGUUUUAAUGUUUUUACAAAGUGAAUUAAAAGAAAAAAAGAACUCUUGACCACAUCUUCUAUAGUAUUUUAAUUUUCUGAUAAAUUAUUUUUGUCUGAAAUAGAAUCAAUAUCUUCUGACAGCUGUAAAGUAUUGCAUUCACUUGUUGCAAUACAGUAUUUACAAUCUUCCAUGUAUAAGAUGCUUAUGACUCUUCUGAAAUUCAGGAUUCCUUCCAUAAUGCAUUUGAAUAGCUAUAUGUAAGAAACAUAGCACAACUUAAAUCAUAUAUCAGUUGAUCUAAAUGUCUGCUGUAAUCCAGUUCGGAUUUUGAAAUAAGCAUCAAAAGCUGAGAAAGCUUUCAUUCCCUUACGUCCAUUAUCUUUUUAAGUUUAAAGUGAAAAAAGAAUGCAUUUACUUUCACAUUAAAGUAAUGAAGUACAGUGCUACUCAUUGUGACUGUCUUGGCAUUUUCCAUUAAUUUGGCUGUUUUCUUGUUGGAGGGAAGGAAGGAGGGACCAAGGUAUAUUAAAUCUCUGAUAUUUGAUUUUUUUUGUCUAGUGUCUUAAAGAUCCAGGUAGUUGCAAACAAAAACACUCCCCUCACUGUCUAUUCUUAGUGAAACCAUCAUAAAGAUUAUUAAUGCAGCUAUCCUAAACUGGACAGAAAAAUAAUGGUUUGCUAGUACAAAAAUGAUAUUGCAUUUAGUUGAAUUCUGAUGUCGAAAUCAUCAGCAGUGAAAGCUUUGUUGCAAAUUAAGUGUGGUAUUUGGCUCGCUCAAAAUUUGGAGAUGUAGAAUGAUUUUUUGCUUUGCUUCCGGUUGUCCUUAACCUUGACUAAAGGAUGAAGGUUUUUAGACAACUUUGUUUCAUUUUUAAAAUAGCCUGUUAUGGUCAGUUAACAGAUAAUGUGUCACUUGACCACUAAAUCCAUCUAUGUCCAUCAUUUCCCACAGUUUCACUUCUAUUUGAAAUAUUACUGCCCUAACAUCAAAGCACGCACAACUGCAGAGCAUCUUACGUACAAAUAUACAGCGUUAUUCUGCUGACACCAGGUGUUGAAAGUAAAAAAUGUAAUGCAUUAUGUAUUCAGAAGCACGCUUUUGUUAGCUGAGAGUUAUCUGGAAGUAAAUGAUAAACGAGUCAAAGUUUGUCAUUUCACAGUACUUCAAGUGAUCUGUUUCAAAGUAGCUGUUCACAUGUUGAAAAUCAGAAGUGAUCUACUCGUUACCCAUUUUUUCAAGCCAUAUCAAACAAGACAACAUUUAAUUCUUGUAUGGUUUCUCUCCUUCCUAUGCCUUUAUUAGUACAGCUAAUAUAACUCUUGUUGAUUAGAUUCAUUUUUUUAUUAAUUAGCAUCAAUAAGUGAUUAUUUGCUUAACACAGAAGUAAAACUAACUGAGAUUUCCAAAUGUCCCUACAUGCUUGCUGCCUAAUCAAGGACAAAUGGUGUUCAGGAUAGUAGCACGUUAGCAGCUUCCAAUCCUCAAGUACACUAUAGAUUGCUGUACUGAAUGAUGUUCGGGCAGGGGGAUAGAAUUGAUUCAUUCAGCUUGUUCAAGGACUGAUUUCUUCAAGAACUGAAAUAUAACACUUUACUGUGAAGUUGAACUGAAGAGCUCUUUAAUAAUAUUUUCUAUAGAAUCCUAGAAUGACCUGGGUUGAAAAGGGCCACAGUGAUCAUCUAGUCUCAACCUCCCUGCUGUGUGCAGGGUCACCAACCAGCAGACCAGGCUGCCCAGAGACAUAUCCAGCCUGGCCUUGAAUGCCUCCAGGGAUGGGGCAUCCACAACCUGCUCGGGCAACCUAUUCCAGUGCGUCCCAAGCUCAUUGAAGAUCAGCUGUGAAAACAGUGCUACCUUUUUCCAGAUAACCACAACCUUCUAUAACACAGGGAUGGAAGCUCUACCCUUAAGAUUCCUGGUCAUUCCUUCCACUCACUAUAUUUCAACCAUAUUUUCAACACUUCAGUGAUAAUGUUUGUUUAAAAUUAUCCAUUAAUUAUACCUUAAAUUCAAAUAUAUGAUAAUUGGUUAAUCUAUAACAUCAGCUUUCCAUUGUGAAACGUGUUAGAUGUGAAGGUGUAGGAGUGUUCAUCCAGAACAACCUCUUGAAACUCCUAGACUAUAGUUGCUUAUUCUGCUACUUAGACCUUCUAGGCCGAGAUCUUUCAGUGCAAGCAGUCAGUUUUUAAAACAUGGUGCUGACUUCUUCAUAGUAUUUAGUGGAGGCUCAUCUGUUUUGUCACAGUCUAAAAAUAAAUUAUAAAUGGUGGCUGUAAAUUGACUUUAAAUUAGGGGGAAAGUUGCUAGCCAGAAGAAACAGUUGGUUUUACUUGUUUGUGCUUGAGAGUAGGAGUGUGUUGACACCCAUUCCCUGUUAGCUUAUCAUGGUACAUAUUUGUCUGUUUACUUGGGAAUUAUCUAAGUUUUUCUACUUAAAAAAUAAAAAAUAAGAAUCCUAAGUGUUACCUGCAAGUCCUGAAACAGCAGCAUGCUUAUCUUUGCCAUUUUUUAUAUGUCAGAUGAUUGUAUAUAAAAAGACUGUGCAAACUCAGUGAUGGCACGUGAGAUGGAUGAGUUAUCCCUUAAGACAGUAUGACCACCUCCACAGCCUUAUUUUCAUCCUUGCUGAUGUCAUCUAGAGUUCAAGACUCAGUUGCAAUUGAACAAUUUCUCAUUAAACGUUGGCAACACUGAGUCAGCAGUGUGUCCAGGCAGCCAGGAAAGCCAAUCCUAUCUUGGGAUACAUCAAGCAUGGCAUUGCUAUAGCUGGUUAAGGGAAGUGAAUGUCCUGCUCUACACAGCUCUGGUGUGGCCUCACCCCAAGUACUGUGUGCAGUUUCGGGCCCCACAGUACAAAAUGACAUAAAAUUAGAGAAGGCUGAGGGGAGAUCUCAUUGCAACCUACAGCUUCCUCACAAGGGGGAGCAGAGGAGCAGUGCUGAUCUCUUCUCUCUGGUGACAGGAGGGAAUGGCACGAAGUUGCAUAAGGGGAGGAUCACGUUAGAAAUCCGGGGAAGGGUCUUCACCAUAGGGUCGUCACGCAAUGGAACUGGUUCCCCAGGGCAGUGCUCAUGGCACCAAGCUUGCUGGAGUUCAAGAAGUGUGAGGACAACGUUCUCAGACGUACAGUCUU